rnacentral:siRNA from 1 species
GGCGUAUUAGGGACAAUGUCCCAC